GGAUGAACGCUGGCGGCGUGCCUAAUACAUGCAAGUCGAGCGAACAGACGAGGAUCUUGCUCCUCUGACGUUAGCGGCGGACGGGUGAGUAACACGUGGAUAACCUACCUAUAAGACUGGGAUAACUUCGGGAAACCGGAGCUAAUACCGGAUAAUAUAUUGAACCGCAUGGUUCAAUAGUGAAAGACGGUUUUGCUGUCACUUAUAGAUGGAUCCGCGCCGCAUUAGCUAGUUGGUAAGGUAACGGCUUACCAAGGCGACGAUGCGUAGCCGACCUGAGAGGGUGAUCGGCCACCCUGGAACUGAGACACGGUCCAGACUCCUACGGGAGGCAGCAGUAGGGAAUCUUCCGCAAUGGGCGAAAGCCUGACGGAGCAACGCCGCGUGAGUGAUGAAGGUCUUCGGAUCGUAAAACUCUGUUAUUAGGGAAGAACAAAUGUGUAAGUAACUAUGCACGUCUUGACGGUACCUAAUCAGAAAGCCACGGCUAACUACGUG
rnacentral:rRNA from 1 species